UACAGAGGGUGCGAGCGUUGUUCGGAAUUAUUGGGCGUAAAGGGCGCGUAGGCGGAUGUUUAAGUCAGAGGUGAAAGCCCAGGGCUCAACCUUGGAAUAGCCUUUGAUACUGGACAUCUUGAGUACGGGAGAGGUGAGUGGAACUCCGAGUGUAGAGGUGAAAUUCGUAGAUAUUCGGAAGAACACCAGUGGCGAAGGCGACUCACUGGCCCGUUACUGACGCUGAGGCGCGAAAGCGUGGGGAGCAAACAGG
rnacentral:rRNA from 1 species